CAUUUAUAAAAAUCUCCCCCCAAAAGGCUUCAUCGCGAUGUCGGAAUCCCCACUCUUCAAAAUGAUUUCUCUACGAGUUUCUUGACUUUCUUCUCACUUCUAAAAAAUCAUCCCGAGUAGAUGGUAGGGGUCAACGGCCUAAGAUUCUCCCCCUUACUUCAUCCAGUUUGCGAUUGAGACUAGCAAGGAAUUCGAAAAGCAGCUCAUUUUCGACCCUCUUCUUGUAGAGGAUGCUAUAACCGGGGCAAUCCCAUUCCUCAUCAAGGCUAAGGUCGAGUUCUUGCCACAAAUUAGUCAUCUCCAAGUAAUAAUCUGUGACCUCCCUUUUCUGACUGUUUGGUUUGCCAUAGCCACGUUUUUAUUUCGAAAAUAUGUGACGCAUUUUUUCCAUCGGAGUAGGUUUCUUUCACUGCUUCCUAUACUUCCUUUGCUGUCGACGGAAAUAAGAAGUUUUCCCUAUGGAUGGAAUCAUGGAAUUCACGAGCCAUGCAUUUAUCAUGGCGUUCUCAGAUCUUCACUUCUGAGGAAGAGUGGUUUUAAUCGGCUGCUUGGUGUCACCAGUGAGGUAACCUAGUUUUCCUUUGCCUUCAAUUAUCAAUUUGAUAGAUUGAGCCCAUGCUCGAAAAUUCCUUCCAUUCAAUUUUUUGACACAGAGUAGUAAAGAAGGAUUUUCGACAUUAUUGGAGCUCAUAGAGGAGAUAAUUUCUGCCUCACUUAGAGAGGAAUCAGAAGUUGUAGAAUCCCUAGUGUUGGUUGUCAUUGAUUGUUAGGUUGAUUUGGAACCUAGCUCUAAUACCAUGAAGAGAAAAACACACAAAUGAUUGUGUGAAAUUGAUUGGGAGAGAGCUAAUUAGCCUACCAAACUAUGGAAAGUUUAAGUAUGGUACAUCAAUCAAUCCUAUUCACCCUAAAUAUGGUACAUCAAUCAAUCAACAAUUAAAACCAGAUUUCUACAUAUGUAUAUCAAAUUAUGAUUUCAUCUCAAGUUUGGAGAUUAUUUUUAAUGCUAGUACUCCUUUUCUGCUCCAAUCAACCUGUUAUAUUAUAUGCAUCGAUCUCUGUAUUUGUGCUCAACUAUCUCAGAGAAGAAAAACUUGGUCAUAGUAGUGGUGCAUUGUGCUGCCAUGUUAAUAGUUGAUCCAUGUUCAUAAUUCUAUAAUUUUCUACCUGCUUUAUAUUUUCUAAAUAGAAUCAGAUCAUCAGCAUCAAUUGCUUUAUUAUCAAUUAUAAUAUCUAUGAUGGCUAAAACGAAGAAUGCAUCCAUUUUCAGCAUGUGAUAUGCUACGUGUGAAGCUGAAGGAUAAUUUUGUUGCAUAAUUGUACACCCAUACCCUACUAUAUGAUACAGUGCGUUGAUAAAAUUAUGCUGUACAAUACAAGUGGUGAUUAUAUUCUAAGAUUUUCAAAACACUCUUGCUCAACACCUAUUUCUGGAAAUUUGUUAGUUUACUAACUUUUAUUGUUCCCAGUGGUUCUGGAAAGUAAGCCUGAGUCUUAGCUGACAAUUCUUGUGCAACAAAACGC
rnacentral:lncRNA from 1 species